ACAGAAAGAGAAAUGUUAUACACAUAAAUAUUAACAUUUUGUAGAGCAACAACAGAAUAAAAAACCAAAAUAUGAACACCAGCAACUAAAACAGGAACCAUUAAAUGAAUAUUAUACACAGCAAUAACAGCAUCAAAUAAUGGAAAUAAUGGACCCUAUUGCUCAAAUCAAAAA